UUUUAUGUUUACUCGCUGGCAUAUGGGUAUAUGGCUAGAAGGAAACAAUCAAUGUUUUAGGAAUAUAAUCAGGCCAUUUCCCAACGUAUUUAGCAGAGCUAAAUCUCUUAUAAUAUAGAAUGGGCUUUAUCCAUAAAGAUCAUAGGUUCUCGUUUGGAAUUUUGGGGUGGUUUGUAAUUUGGUCUUUGUAAAUUUGUAUGUUUUGAGCCUUGGCUCACUUUAAAUAAUAUUAUCAUCGUUUCAAAAAAAAAAAAAAAAGGAUGGUGGACAAAAGAAUCAUCCCUGUAUAGAGCUUCAGCAUUGUGAAAAGCAGUUACAAGGUUGGUGAGCAAGUUUACAGAGGAUCGAGUUCUCUUUCGGGGAUGGGGAGAGGAUUCGUUUUUAGGAAGAUAUAUGGGUUGGAGAGAAGGCGCUUAAAGAAGAAUUUCAAAGGUGUAUCAUAUCCGUAUCAGCUCGAUACAAUACACGAUAUGGGGUUGUAUCAGUCGUAUCCUAAAAGAUUGUGCCAUAUCAGUCCUUUUCCCCCCUUUUUGAUCUCUCCUUCAUUUCUCCCCAUUUGCUUCGAAUCAUUUACGUACAUCAAAGUAGAGAUCGGG